AGAGUUUGAUCAUGGCUCAGAUUGAACGCUGGCGGCAGGCCUAACACAUGCAAGUCGAACGGUAACAGGAAGCAGCUUGCUGCUUCGCUGACGAGUGGCGGACGGGUGAGUAAUGUCUGGGAAACUGCCUGAUGGAGGGGGAUAACUACUGGAAACGGUAGCUAAUACCGCAUAAUGUCGCAAGACCAAAGAGGGGGACCUUCGGGCCUCUUGCCAUCGGAUGUGCCCAGAUGGGAUUAGCUUGUUGGUGGGGUAACGGCUCACCAAGGCGACGAUCCCUAGCUGGUCUGAGAGGAUGACCAGCCACACUGGAACUGAGACACGGUCCAGACUCCUACGGGAGGCAGCAGUGGGGAAUAUUGCACAAUGGGCGCAAGCCUGAUGCAGCCAUGCCGCGUGUAUGAAGAAGGCCUUCGGGUUGUAAAGUACUUUCAGCGGGGAGGAAGGGAGUAAAGUUAAUACCUUUGCUCAUUGACGUUACCCGCAGAAGAAGCACCGGCUAACUCCGUGCCAGCAGCCGCGGUAAUACGGAGGGUGCAAGCGUUAAUCGGAAUUACUGGGCGUAAAGCGCACGCAGGCGGUUUGUUAAGUCAGAUGUGAAAUCCCCGGGCUCAACCUGGGAACUGCAUCUGAUACUGGCAAGCUUGAGUCUCGUAGAGGGGGGUAGAAUUCCAGGUGUAGCGGUGAAAUGCGUAGAGAUCUGGAGGAAUACCGGUGGCGAAGGCGGCCCCCUGGACGAAGACUGACGCUCAGGUGCGAAAGCGUGGGGAGCAAACAGGAUUAGAUACCCUGGUAGUCCACGCCGUAAACGAUGUCGACUUGGAGGUUGUGCCCUUGAGGCGUGGCUUCCGGAGCUAACGCGUUAAGUCGACCGCCUGGGGAGUACGGCCGCAAGGUUAAAACUCAAAUGAAUUGACGGGGGCCCGCACAAGCGGUGGAGCAUGUGGUUUAAUUCGAUGCAACGCGAAGAACCUUACCUGGUCUUGACAUCCACGGAAGUUUUCAGAGAUGAGAAUGUGCCUUCGGGAACCGUGAGACAGGUGCUGCAUGGCUGUCGUCAGCUCGUGUUGUGAAAUGUUGGGUUAAGUCCCGCAACGAGCGCAACCCUUAUCCUUUGUUGCCAGCGGUCCGGCCGGGAACUUAAAGGAGACUGCCAGUGAUAAACUGGAGGAAGGUGGGGAUGACGUCAAGUCAUCAUGGCCCUUACGACCAGGGCUACACACGUGCUACAAUGGCGCAUACAAAGAGAAGCGACCUCGCGAGAGCAAGCGGACCUCAUAAAGUGCGUCGUAGUCCGGAUUGGAGUCUGCAACUCGACUCCAUGAAGUCGGAAUCGCUAGUAAUCGUGGAUCAGAAUGCCACGGUGAAUACGUUCCCGGGCCUUGUACACACCGCCCGUCACACCAUGGGAGUGGGUUGCAAAAGAAGUAGGUAGCUUAACCUUCGGGAGGGCGCUUACCACUUUGUGAUUCAUGACUGGGGUGAAGUCGUAACAAGGUAACCGUAGGGGAACCUGCGGUUGGAUCACCU
rnacentral:rRNA from 1 species